rnacentral:rRNA from 1 species
AGCGCAGGUGGUUGUAUAAGUCUGAAGUAAAAGGCAGUGGCUCAACCAUUGUGUGCUUUGGAAACUGUACAACUUGAGUGCAGAAGGGGAGAGUGGAACUCCAUGUGUAGCGGUGAAAUGCGUAGAUAUAUGGAGGAACACCGGUGGCGAAAGCGGCUCUCUGGUCUGUAACUGACACUGAGGCUGAAAGCGUGGGGAGCAAACA